AACCAAUCAGGACAUUAAACAGGUUUAAUCAAACCUGCUCAAGAAAAAAACAAAAAGGACCAAUCAGGUGUUAGCGUGGGAUAAAAUAUGGCAUGUUUAGAGUGAUCAUAUUUAUUUUACUCAUAACUAUAAAUGAGCUCCUGAUAAAGAGCUCACUGUCUCUUUAAAACGUCAGCGAUAACGUGUCGUACUGUCUCUUUAAAACGUCAGUGAUAACGUGUCGUACUGUCUCUUUAAAACGUCAGUGAUAACGUGUCGUACUGUCUCUUUAAAACGUCAGUGAUAACGUGUCGUACUGUCUCUUUAAAACGUCUCAGUGAUAACGUGUCGUACUGUCUCUUUAAAACGUCAGUGAUAACGUGUCGUACUGUCUCUUUAAAACGUCAGUGAUAACGUGUCGUACUGUCUCUUUAAAACGUCAGCGAUAACGUGGAUUCAUCACCUUGUCAUUUCAGAGCCAAUAAAUAUAAAGCAAAUAUACACAGAAAAUAACAGUGUGUGUGUGUGCGUGUGUGUGUGUGUGUGUGUUCAGGCAUCAGAUGAAGUUGUACCAGUGCUCUCAGGCUCCUCCUCCUGGACCGUCUCUGGUUCUUGUUCAGCCUCAGUGACCUCCUCCUCCUCCACCACCUCCACCACCUCCUCCUCAGUCUCGGUAACCUCAGCCUCAGGCUCCACCUCCUCUUCCUCCUCUCCACCUACACAGGGCGAGAGCAGGAUGAAGCUCCACAAACGUAUCUACUGUACAUGUUCCUGCUGUUAGGGAGCUGAGAAAUGAUUGAUCUACAGGAUUGAACACCUGAACCUGAUUGAUUAGUGACUCUAAUCAUUCACUCGUUUCUCAUCUGAAUGAAAAUCAAGUAUUUCAGACCAACCAUAAAAGAAGAUGGAAACAUCUUUUAAAGAAGAGUGUGACAUCACUACACAGUCCCAGUGUGGAUGUCAUACUGGGGGGGGGGGGCUCCAGCAGGGGGCGCUGCUGCUGUUACAGUGUAAAGGAAUAAUGUCCACUCAAAGAAUAAAGGUUACAUACAGUAACUACGUUCUAUUUCA
rnacentral:lncRNA from 1 species